GAUGAACGCUGGCGGCGUGCCUAAUACAUGCAAGUCGAGCGAACGGACGAGAAGCUUGCUUCUCUGAUGUUAGCGGCGGACGGGUGAGUAACACGUGGAUAACCUACCUAUAAGACUGGGAUAACUUCGGGAAACCGGAGCUAAUACCGGAUAAUAUUUUGAACCGCAUGGUUCAAAAGUGAAAGACGGUCUUGCUGUCACUUAUAGAUGGAUCCGCGCUGCAUUAGCUAGUUGGUAAGGUAACGGCUUACCAAGGCAACGAUACAUAGCCGACCUGAGAGGGUGAUCGGCCACACUGGAACUGAGACACGGUCCAGACUCCUACGGGAGGCAGCAGUAGGGAAUCUUCCGCAAUGGGCGAAAGCCUGACGGAGCAACGCCGCGUGAGUGAUGAAGGUCUUCGGAUCGUAAAACUCUGUUAUUAGGGAAGAACAUAUGUGUAAGUAACUGUGCACAUCUUGACGGUACCUAAUCAGAAAGCCACGGCUAACUACGUGCCAGCAGCCGCGGUAAUACGUAGGUGGCAAGCGUUAUCCGGAAUUAUUGGGCGUAAAGCGCGCGUAGGCGGUUUUUUAAGUCUGAUGUGAAAGCCCGCGGCUCAACCGUGGAGGGUCAUUGGAAACUGGAAAACUUGAGUGCAGAAGAGGAAAGUGGAAUUCCAUGUGUAGCGGUGAAAUGCGCAGAGAUAUGGAGGAACACCAGUGGCGAAGGCGACUUUCUGGUCUGUAACUGACGCUGAUGUGCGAAAGCGUGGGGAUCAAACAGGAUUAGAUACCCUGGUAGUCCACGCCGUAAACGAUGAGUGCUAAGUGUUAGGGGGUUUCCGCCCCUUAGUGCUGCAGCUAACGCAUUAAGCACUCCGCCUGGGGAGUACGACCGCAAGGUUGAAACUCAAAGGAAUUGACGGGGACCCGCACAAGCGGUGGAGCAUGUGGUUUAAUUCGAAGCAACGCGAAGAACCUUACCAAAUCUUGACAUCCUUUGACAACUCUAGAGAUAGAGCUUUCCCCUUCGGGGGACAAAGUGACAGGUGGUGCAUGGUUGUCGUCAGCUCGUGUCGUGAGAUGUUGGGUUAAGUCCCGCAACGAGCGCAACCCUUAAGCUUAGUUGCCAUCAUUAAGUUGGGCACUCUAAGUUGACUGCCGGUGACAAACCGGAGGAAGGUGGGGAUGACGUCAAAUCAUCAUGCCCCUUAUGAUUUGGGCUACACACGUGCUACAAUGGACAAUACAAAGGGCAGCGAAACCGUGAGGUCAAGCAAAUCCCAUAAAGUUGUUCUCAGUUCGGAUUGUAGUCUGCAACUCGACUACAUGAAGCUGGAAUCGCUAGUAAUCGUAGAUCAGCAUGCUACGGUGAAUACGUUCCCGGGUCU
rnacentral:rRNA from 1 species